UCCGGCCUGGAGACAGACGGAGACUCCGUGUCAAAAAAAAGAAAAAAAAGGUGGGGGUUGGGUCUUUGGGGUCCCAGAGAAGAAAUGGGUGGGACCUAAGGAGCCAUACUGGAAACCAUACUUUUGGGACAUGUUGCCCGAGAUGAGGAUGGAAUACCCCACCCGGCAGAAAUGGAGACCAGACAGCUGCACAGUCUUAUGUGAGGGUGGAUUAUGUGAGGUGGAUUAUGUGAGGGUGGAUUAUGUGAGGGGUGGAUUAUGUGAGGGUGGAUUAUGUGAGGUGGAUUAUGUGAGGUGGAUUAUGUGAAUGUGGGUGGAUUAUGUGAGGGUGGAUUAUGUGAGGGUGGAUUAUGUGAGGGUGGAUUAUGUGAGGGUGGAUUAUGUGAGGUGGAUUAUGUGAGGGUGAAUUAUGUGAGGGUGGAUUAUGUGAGGUGGAUUAUGUGAGGGUGGAUUAUGUGAGGUGGAUUAUGUGAGGGUGGAUUAUGUGAGGUGGAUUAUGUGAGGUGGAUUAUGUGAGUGUGGAUUAUGUGAGGGUGGGUGGAUUAUGCGAGGGUGGAUUAUGUGAGGUGGAUUAUGUGAGGGUGGAGUGGCUCUUAGCUUUUCUCUCUGAAUCACUUUCCCCACAAGAGGACAUUUAUCGUCUGGCCUGGUCUGACAGAUGGAAUAAGGCUUGACGUCGCUGGCUGCAGCAGAUGGAAACAAGGCAGGGGGCGUGGGGCCUCCAGCCGUGAGUCGUGGGUUCCCACGGGCAGCCGGUGAUAAAGAGCACUCCAGGCUCCGGAUGGGGUCCUCCAGGCCCAGCCCUGAGCACCGUCGGUCCCUCCCUUCUGUCUCCACAGUGAAGGGCACGUAAUAGCAUCAUCUGUUCAUCUUCAUAGAGUAUUGGCCUGGUGAGGGGCUGGGCUUACUGGAGGUCCGUGAGGCUGUCCUAAACCAUCACUGAGAACCAGGUGGUUAAGCUGCUGAGCGCAGAGUUAGUUUCUGACUCAGAAAGGUCUGAGGUGGGUGUGAAAUUUUGGAUUUCC
rnacentral:lncRNA from 1 species